rnacentral:rRNA from 1 species
UCCAAUCGAACUCGGAGAUAGCUGGUUCUCCCCGAAAUAGCUUUAGGGCUAGCCUGAGGUAGUAAGUAUAGGCGGUAGAGCACUGAUCGGGCUAGGGGCCGUAAAGGUUACCGAACCCUGUCAAACUCCGAAUGGAUAUACUGUAGAGCCUUGGAGUCAGACUACGAGUGAUAAGAUCCGUGGUCAAAAGGGAAACAGCCCAGACCACCAGCUAAGGUCCCCAAUGUCGUACUAAGUGGAAAAGGAUGUGGGGUUUCAUAAACAACCAGGAUGUUGGCUCAGAAGCAGCCACCAUUUAAAGAGUGCGUAAUAGCUCACUGGUCGAGAGACCCUGCGCCGAAGAUUCCCGGGGCUAAAGUACGAAACCGAAGCUGUGGCUGUAUACGUAAAGUAUACGGGGUAGGGGAGCGUUCCCAUAGGGUAGAAGUCGAACUGGAAGGUUCGGUGGACUUGUGGGAAGUGAGAAUGUUGGUAUGAGUAGCGAAAAGAAAGGUGAGAAUCCUUUCCACCGAAAGCAUAAGGAUUCCUGAGCAACGAUCGUCGUCUCAGGGUAAGUCGGGACCUAAUCCGAGGCAGAGAGCGUAGGAGAUGGACAACUGGUUGAUAUUCCAGUACCGGUAGUAAUUGUUUGAGCAAUGGAGUGACACAGAAGGGCAGGCAAGCAUGCGAAUGGAAGAGCAUGUGUAAGCGUGUAGGGUGGUGCAUAGGCAAAUCCGUGCACUGAAAGCCUGAGGCGUGAUGCGGAGUGAGCAGAGAUGCGAGCGAAGUUGUUGACCCCACACUGUCGAGAAAAGCUUCUAGUGAGAGAGCUACCGCCCGUACCGUAAACCGACACAGGUAUGCGGGGAGAGAAUCCUAAGGUGCGCGGGAGAACCCUCGUUAAGGAACUCGGCAAAAUGUACCCGUAACUUCGGGAUAAGGGUAGCCACUGUUGUGAAGUCCCAUGCGGAUGGAGCAUAGAGUGGUCGCAGAGAAGAGGCCCAAGCGACUGUUUACCAUAAACACAGGUGCCUGCUAAAGCGAAAGCUGACGUAUAGGUGCUGACACCUGCCCAGUGCCGGAAGGUUAAGGAAGGAUGUUCGGAUUAGUCCAAAGCAUUCGACUGAAGCCCCGGUGAACGGCGGCCGUAACUAUAACGGUCCUAAGGUAGCGAAAUUCCUUGUCGGGUAAGUUCCGACCCGCACGAAAGGUGUAACGAUUUGGGCACUGUCUCAACGAGGGACCCGGUGAAAUUGAAAUACCUGUGAAGAUGCAGGUUACCCGCGACUGGACAGAAAGACCCCAUGGAGCUUUACUGUAACCUGACAUUGGGUUUUGAUACAUUACGUACAGGAUAGGUGGGAGGCUUGGAAAGUUGGACGCUAGUCUGACUGGAGCCGACGUUGGGAUACCACCCUUGAUGUAUUGAAAUUCUAACCGCGAGAGUAACGAAAUCCGGGACAGUGUCAGGCGGGCAGUUUGACUGGGGCGGUCGCCUCCGAAAGAGUAACGGAGGCGCCCAAAGGUUCCCUCAGCGCGGCCGGAAAUCGCGCGAAGAGUGUAAAGGCAGAAGGGAGCUUGACUGCGAGUCAAACACGACGAGCAGGUACGAAAGUAGGGCUUAGUGAUCCGGUGGUACCGAGUGGAAGGGCCAUCGCUCAACGGAUAAAAGCUACCCUGGGGAUAACAGGCUAAUCUCUCCCAAGAGUCCAUAUCGACGGGGAGGUUUGGCACCUCGAUGUCGGCUCAUCACAUCCUGGGGCUGAAGUCGGUCCCAAGGG